rnacentral:misc_RNA from 1 species
UGAUAUUGCACAACAUAUAUUGUAACUGAAACUGAAAACAACAAAAAAAAAUACUCAUUUUAAUGGCAUGGAUCUUUACAAAUUUGGGGAAAACAGAGUCGGAAGUUUUAUGGGAUAGAGUGAAAAUCAUAAUUUUCACCAAACCUUGUAUCCAAGCUACAACACUCACUCCCAUGCAAGGAAAAAAUAAACCCCAACAAUUAAUCUGUAACAUCAAAGCAAACACACCAGGGGAAAAAGGAUAAGCAGAAUCUGUGGAAAUUGAAAAAGAAAAACACAGGAAUGGAGGUUAGAUGUCCUUUUAUUAUUGCUUCUA